AUAUCAAUAAGCGGAGGAAAAGAAACCAACAGGGAUUGCCUCAGUAACGGCGAGUGAAGCGGCAACAGCUCAAAUUUGAAAUCUGGAGCCUUCGGCUUCCGAGUUGUAAUUUGAAGAGGAUGUUUCGGUGCAACCUGGGCCUAAGUUCCUUGGAACAGGACGUCAUGGAGGGUGAGAAUCCCGUACAUGGCUGCAGGUUUGCUUCUAUGUGAAACUCCUUCGAAGAGUCGAGUUGUUUGGGAAUGCAGCUCAAAAUGGGUGGGUAAUUUCAUCUAAAGCUAAAUUUGGCGGGAGACCGAUAGCGCACAAGUAGAGUGAUCGAAAGAUGAAAAGCACUUUGAAAAGAGGGUUAAAUAGCACGUGAAAUUGUUGAAAGGGAAGCGCUUGUGACCAGACUUGCGCCGGGCAGAUCAUCCGGUGUUCUCACCGGUGCACUCUGCCCGGCUCAGGCCAGCAUCGGUUCUCGUGGGGGGAUAAAGGUCCCGGGAACGUAGCUCCUCCGGGAGUGUUAUAGCCCGGGGCGUAAUGCCCUCGUGGGGACCGAGGUUCGCGCAUCUGCAAGGAUGCUGGCGUAAUGGUCAUCAGCGA
rnacentral:rRNA from 1 species